rnacentral:rRNA from 1 species
GACGAACGCUGGCGGCGUGCUUAACACAUGCAAGUCGAGCGGUAAGGCCCUUUCGGGGGUACACGAGCGGCGAACGGGUGAGUAACACGUGGGUGACCCGCCCUCAGCUCUGGGAUAAGCCUGGGGAAACUGGGUCUAAUACUGGAUAUGACUCCACGGUGCAUGUCGUGGGGUGGAAAGCCUUGUGCGGCUGAGGAUGGGCCCGCGGCCUAUCAGCUUGUUGGUGGGGUGAUGGCCUACCAAAGGCGACGACGGGUAGCCGGCCUGAGAGGGCGACCGGCCACACUGGGACUGAGACACGGCCCAGACUCCUACGGGAGGCAGCAGUGGGG